rnacentral:rRNA from 1 species
UACGAAGGGAGCUAGCGUUGUUCGGAAUUACUGGGCGUAAAGGGCGCGUAGGCGGGUUUCCAAGUCGGGGGGUGAAAUUCCAGGGCUCAACCCUGGGACGGCCUUCGAUACUGGGAGCCUGGAGAUCGGGAGAGGUGAGUGGAAUUCCGAGUGUAGAGGUGAAAUUCGUAGAUAUUCGGAGGAACACCAGAAGCGAAGGCGGCUCACUGGCCCGAGACUGACGCUGAGGCGCGAAAGCGUGGGGAGCAAACAGG